rnacentral:rRNA from 1 species
UACAGAGGGGGCAAGCGUUGUUCGGAAUUACUGGGCGUAAAGGGCGCGUAGGCGGCCCGCUAAGUCGAACGUGAAAUCCCCGAGCUCAACUCGGGAACUGCGUCCGAUACUGGCGGGCUUGAAUCCGGGAGAGGGAUGCGGAAUUCCAGGUGUAGCGGUGAAAUGACGUAGAUAUCUGGAGGAACACCGGUGGCGAAGGCGGCAUCCUGGACCGGCAUUGACGCUGAGGCGCGAAAGCUAAGGGGAGCAAACGGGG